GAGAAAAGGAGUGAAGAGCUGAUGAAAAUGUUCUCACUGGGCAUGCUGGUGUUGCUGCUUCUGGGCACUUGUGAGGCUUCGGCUGUACAAUUGCUCCAGGAAAACUCCUCAGUGAUGGCUAUUGCUGGGAGUGCCGUUUCCUUUCACUGUGCUAUAGAGGCAAAGUUUAGCAUGAGCAGCUACACUAUGCAGUGGUACAAGCAAAUGUAUUACGGUGCACCAUUUGAGUUCCUGAUGAUGGAGUAUGAACAGGCCACAAAGAAAAUGAACGUUGUCCUAAAGAAAGCUGAGAAUAAGUUCAGCUUGAACAUUUCGCCGUUGACGCUGCAGGACAGUGCCAUUUAUUACUGUGCUGCCAGACACACCGGUCAACAAGCUUACUUCGGUGGAGGAACCAAGUUAACAGUUCUUGACAAAAACAUUCAAAUCACAGAGCCAGCUGUCAAGGUGCUAGAUGUUUCAGAGAAUGAAGUGUGUACAAAGACAAACGUCACACUGGUUUGUGUGGCUGAAAAAUUUUAUCCUGACCAUGUGUCUGUGUCCUGGUCUGUUGAUGGAGAUAAACGUACCACUGAUGUGAGCACAGACGAAGCUGCCAUCCAAAAUGAUGAAACAAAAUUCUACAGCAUCUCCAGCAGACUGAACAUCAAUUACAAAGAUGAGUGGACUAAAGGCAAAACGUUCACCUGUACUGUCAGUUUCUUCAAUGAGAAAAACUACACAGAACACAGUGACUCCUUAACAGGACCAAAACUUGGUGGUGAGGAAUUAGUCGAAAAAUAUAUUAAAUCAGCGAAUGUAACUAUGCUGGCCUAUGGCAUGUUCAUUGGCAAGAGCAUUGCAUACGGCUUAUUCAUCCUGUACGUCAUCAAGAGACAGGGUUUUAUUUCAAAGUAAAGGCAAUGUGACUGAUGUGGGCAUGAUGGAGAACUGCAAUGUGGUCACAUGACAGAGGAGGACUUUUACACCGUUUAUACCAAUAAUCUAACAGUUAGUUCAGAUAUAAGCUCUGUGUUUAAAGAUUUUCGCUUUGCUAAUUCUGCAAUACAUUCAAUUUAUUUUUCUUUUCUUCUGCUUGGUUUGAUUAAAUUUAUACAUAUUUGAAUAGAUUUUUAUUAUAAACAUUUUUACUCUGCAUUUAUUCUUUCACUUGAUGUAUAAAACAAGAAUUUCUUAUGACUGUCUACAUUAUUCAGGCUUGCUUGAAAUGUUUCAUAAUGAUGAUUUCUGUAUCAUAAAAUGUAUUAAAAUAAAACAUGUGAUUAUGACUA